GGACAUAGGUGGCGAACGUUAAUCCGGAAUUAUUGGGCGUAAAGGAUGCGUAGAUGGUAGAAUAAGUUACUGGUCGAUGCCAAACUCAAUUUGACGGAAGCUGGUAAUACUGUUCUGCUAGAGGGCAGGAGAGGUUGAUGGAAUUCUGUGUGGAGCGGUGAAAUGCGUUGAUCUACAGAGGAACACCAAAAAAAGGCGAAGGCAGUCAACUAUUCU
rnacentral:rRNA from 1 species